UCCAAACAAAAAAAAACAUAGGGCCGUGGGAGAGGAGGAGGAGAUCAGGCGUUUGGCCUCUGAGGCAGGAAACAGACCAGCACCUCGGCAGAAGAAGUGGCAUGAUCUAUAUCUGAAGCCUUCCAGUUCGCUCCUUGUCUCAGUGCAUCCAGGAACCUCAUGUACAGUGGCACAGCAGCCAGGGCCUUCACCUGGUGAGACGCUACAGCCAGGACUCUACCUGCAGGUUCACCACCACCACCACCACCAAAGGAUGUCUCCUUAGCUAGUGGUGAACCUUGGCAUCAACCUCUGAUGUAUCCAGCCCCAUCACAAGCCCCACAAAAAGAAAAGUGUCACCACCUGGACACACACUGUUUCUCCUGUGUCUCUUCCUCCUUCUCCUGUUCCUGUAUCAAGCCUCUUCCAUUCUGCCUCCACUGCUACAGCUGAACCCCCUCUGCUCCUCUCACCUUGCCAUUGCCUAAAAAUGUGGGGAUCGUACCUGUUUCAGAUGCUGCCUGGCUGCCCACAAAGCUGCUAAAGACAUUUCAGCAGCCCUGUGGAAAGACCAGCGUCUUUUCAAAGACCUGAAACUGUGGUAUGAUCCACCAGAGUCUUCCCUCAUAUACCAUCAGGUCCUCACUCCUGAGCGCUUCUUCCACCACGACUUUUCUCAUGGAAAAAACAUGGUGUGACAUUCUUUGUCAAUAUGUAUAUAAUGUAAAUAGUUUUAAAAGAAAAAAGUCUUAAUCUGCUGCU